UACGUAGGUGGCAAGCGUUGUCCGGAGUUAUUGGGCGUAAAGCGCGCGCAGGUGGUUCCUUAAGUCUGAUGUGAAAGCCCACGGCUCAACCGUGGAGGGUCAUUGGAAACUGGGGGACUUGAGUGCAGAAGAGGAAAGUGGAAUUCCAAGUGUAGCGGUGAAAUGCGUAGAGAUUUGGAGGAACACCAGUGGCGAAGGCGACUUUCUGGUCUGUAACUGACACUGAGGCGCGAAAGCGUGGGGAGCAAACAGG
rnacentral:rRNA from 1 species